rnacentral:rRNA from 1 species
UACAGAGACUGCAAGCGUUAUUCGGAUUCACUGGGCGUAAAGGGCUCGUAGGUGGCCAACUAAGUCAGACGUGAAAUCCCUCGGCUUAACCGGGGAACUGCGUCUGAUACUGGAUGGCUUGAGGUUGGGAGAGGGAUGCGGAAUUCCAGGUGUAGCGGUGAAAUGCGUAGAUAUCUGGAGGAACACCGGUGGCGAAGGCGGCAUCCUGGACCAAUUCUGACACUGAGGAGCGAAAGCCAGGGGAGCAAACGGG